GAAAUGCGAUAAGUAAUGUGAAUUGCAGAAUUCAGUGAAUCAUCGAAUCUUUGAACGCACAUUGCGCCCGCCAGUAUUCUGGCGGGCAUGCCUGUCCGAGCGUCAUUUCAACCAUCAAGCCCCCGGGCUUGUGUUGGGGACCUGCGGCUGCCCGCAGGCCCUGAAAACCAGUGGCGGGCUCGCUGUCACACCGAGCGUAGUAGCAAUCACCUCGCUCAGGGUGUGCUGCGGGUUCCGGUCGUUAAACAGCCUUACAAAACCCAAGGUUGACCUCGGAUCAGGUAGGAAGACCCGCUGAACUUAAGC
rnacentral:misc_RNA from 1 species